AAAGUCGUAACAAGGUCUCCGUUGGUGAACCAGCGGAGGGAUCAUUACAGAGUUGAAAAACUCCAACCCCUGUGAACCUACCUUUACUGUUGCUUCGGCGGACGAUGGCCCCCCGGGCCAGACGCCGCCGGAGGUUACAAACCCUGAAUUUUAGUGUAUCUCUGAGUACAAAACCAAAUAAUUAAAACUUUCAACAACGGAUCUCUUGGUUCUG
rnacentral:misc_RNA from 1 species